rnacentral:lncRNA from 1 species
AGAGAGACAUUCUCCUUUUAGACUCAAUUGAGCAGCGUUAAUUCAGAGACAGCCAGGAGCCUGGGAGGCCAGGGCAUAAACAGCAUAAAUGUUGUCACCCACCCCUAUUUUGUGAGAAGAUAUAUCGGGCAGCCCUGGGGAAAUGGGAUGCAGGAUAGGAGAAGAAAGGCAUGUCUGGGGAAGCUGCUGUAUGGAAAAGUAGGAAAGUCAUCCUAUACCAGCAGUUCUCAAACUUGAGCACACAGCAGAAUCACCGAGGGACCUCUUAAAACACACAUUGGUGGGCCCACCAGCAGUGCCACUCAGUCAGCGAGUCAGGGUGGAAUCUGGUACCUGCCCUAGUUCUAACGAGCUCCCAGGCAAUAUGCAUGCAGACGCUGCCAGUCAGGCAGCCAGAUUUUUAGAACGCUUACCAAAACUAUUUCACCUGUUUUCCCAGGUCACCUGCGCAGAUGGGUCCCGUGAAGGAUACACACAGAAAAAGGGCCGAAAGGAAGGGCUCAGGAUCGAGCAGAGAAUCCUGCCUAGGAGAGAAACAUGGAAAGAGAUUCCACAGGAAAACACAGGUAGUAGAAGAACAGCAGCCAGCAUUUAUGGAUUGAGCACUUACUAUGUGCAGAGCCCCCUCUAAGUGCUUCAUGAUUGAUUUCAUUUAAGCCACACAAUACACCUAUGGAGUUAGGACUAUUAGCCUCCCCAGCUCAUAUCAGUAGGGAAACAGCAGCACAGGGAAGAUAAGUAACUAGAUGGUGCCAAGAUGCAAGUCUAGCUCAAGUGCCCACCAUUAACUGCUGUGCCCUGCUGCUGGCAGAGGAAGCCAAACUGGAAACAAAGAAACGAGAACUUUCUUCCCCUCAUGAAUCCUCCUGCCAGGCCUUCAGAUAAGCACCUCCAUUUUGCAAGCUAGUCUGUUUGGGAAAGAAGGAGAUGAAAGGGAAGUGUGUAGUGCGUUAGUUUGCUAGGGCUGGCAUAAUCAAGUACCACAAACUGAUUGGCUUACACAACAAAUUAUUUCGCAGUUCUGGAGGCCAGAAGUCCAAGAACAAGGUACCUGCAUGGUUCAUUCCUCCUGCACGGUUCAUUCAUCGGCUGGGAAGGAGAAUCUGCUCCAUGCCUCUCCAAGCUUCUGGUGGUUUGCUGGCUAACUUUGGUGUUCCUUGGCUUGGGGACACAUUGCCCCAAUCUCUCCCUUCCUGUUCACGGGGUGUUCUCUGACGAACACAAAGUUUGCUUGGCCAAACUUUAGACAGGCCCCUGAUCCUUCUCCUAGGCCCGUCUGUGCACUUUCGUGUAAGAUUCAGCUUCAGCAAUGAACACGACUAAGCUA